GGUGGGGGGGAUGGUGAAGUUGUUUCUUCCCUUCUCUGGUUCCUUUCUUCCUUCGCUUCUUCGUUCCCCGAUGCUCUUUGAUGAAAUCUGUUGUUCGGGAUUUUCUGCAAUUUUGUUUAUCAUUCUCCACGUCUUUCGUUUAAUUCGAUGAAGGAGGGUGUCCCAAAGGGUGAAAUGAUCUCUAUUAAAUCUUUCUAAUCUAUUUUCUGCUCAGCAUGUUCUUCUUUUGACCCCAGUCCGUUCUUAAGGUCCCUUAUUGUUUCUGAAACGAUUGUGGUUCGUGCUGUCGGCUUUGACCAUCUCGUUUGCUGUAGAUGAGGAAUAUAGGUGAUUUUGGUCCGUCAUUUGUAGUCGGUUCAUGAUCUUUACGAGGGGAAUUUGAUCUAAUCACCUGGAAUUCUGAUUUUAGGCAGAGUAAUGGGUAUGGUUGAUAUGCAAGCGGAUGAUUAUGAGGCUUCAAUUAGGCUGCUGGUUUUGGUUUUUAUGGAUUUUUAUCACAUGUGGAUAAUUUUGAAGCGCGCAGCACUGCAUCGUUCUGUCAGCACUGCAUCGUUCUGUAGGAUCUGACAUUCUGCUGUAGCUCUGGUUCAUCAAGCAAUCUACUUCCCUACAGCCCUAUGACUUUUUGAACCAGCUUCUAUUGUGAAAUCUAGCACGGUCGUUCAUAGCAACUGUUAAUUGGGAUUGUUAUCUGUGCCUUCCAUAAUUUUGCUGGAUAGUCUGAUGCGUUCCAAGAGAAGUUUUUUCUUGGAUAAAUGGGGUCACUUUGAGGUUAUAUUUGGAAUUUGUAAGUUCACAAAGAAAAAUCUUAAUGGAGUGUUCUAUCUUGUUAGCUUAAGCAUCUUAUUAAGGUGGAAGCCAACUCUUCUUCAAGGCUUGAGUGUGUAUUGGUGAAUAGUCUGACAAUCUAUUUUGAUCCAAUCAGCAGUCUUGAGGACUAUUUCAUCUGCCCUCGGAUUACAGUUCCCUUGUUGGAAUCUAGCUACUUUAUUUACUGGGGAUAAUUGGCAUUGGAGAAAUUGAUGUAUUAUGAAGUAAUUGUUAUCUGAGGCUUCUCUAUAUUGGUUGUCGGGAAGUAGAACUUCUACAAAUUGUGUCGCUUUCAUAUUCGUUCCGCAUAUAUUAAGUACCUCUGCUUGAUUUUUCAGGUCGCAUGUUCUGCGACAAGGUGAUGGUGGAGCUAACCGUUCUUCAUUUGCUGCAAUAACUUUUCUCUCUCUUUUUUCUCUUUUUUCUAUUCCUUUGGGUUUUCUGACGUGUCCUUUUUCCUUUACAACAUCACUUAAAGAGCCUUAUAGUUUUGGCUUCUUAUUUUCCAUAUGUUAUGUCGUACAUAUAGUUAAAGAAGACUGAACUCAUAGCUUGAAUUGUCUCAGUAGUUGGGAACUUGGGAUAUCAGAGCAUUUAGUUAUGAUUUAAUUUUUAUUAACCUUUUCUAACUGAAUUUGAGAUAUAACUUCUACCUUUCAAAAAUUGUUAUUUAAUUUAGGGAAGUUUUGUAGGGGCUAGCUGGUUGAUUGUCUGUGGUUGUUGAAUGCACCUGUCUUUAUUAUGGUUAGCACAAGACUCGUGUGGACAAGGGGACCUUCAUAUUUAUUUUUUCAAUCAUACCUGGCUGCUGCUUGUUCGAAGUAGAUACAAUUUUGUUGACGCCAUUUACCUUUUUCUCUAUUUUCCCUUAUCUCAGCUUUGUUUUAAUUAUAUUGAUGGUUUUUGCCACGCUUUCAGUUUGAACUUGGGAAAAUAAUUAUUAGCUUGUCUUGUGACAUGUCAUUGGUUAUCUUGUAUUUUCUUCCCAGGUCUUUUUUUUUUUUUUUUUUUUCGGUAUUGAAAUAGUCUUGUCUAGAUUUAGUACAACAUGUUACAAAAGAUUGUCUUGCUUUUCCAAGACUUCUGAUCCUCCCAAUGGAGGUUAUUCUCAGAAGAAGGUGGUACAUUAAAAGGUCUGAAGCUGCUUAUUGGUUUGUUGUGGUAUUGAUAUUUUACCUUGCACGAUGAAGCUGAUCACACAUCUCAUAAAGAACACAAUCUUGGGCACGAAGCAAGCUUCUUCAUGUGGAAUAUGGUGUUAGUAUUUUCCUUGGCUGAAGGUUUCACCUGCUUGAUUACUUGCCAACUAUUAAUGAUCAUUAUAGGUUCAAUAAUUCCUACUUUUGAUGGGGGAUGUUACAUUAAAGAUGAAAUUAGAUGCUUGAUUGCUGAUUUCAUGUUUUCAACUGAGUGAUUCCUCACUGACAUUGUGUCAAAGUAGAGCUGGUAAUUUUUCUAUUCAUGAGGAGGCUUCUUAACAUUGGUCAAGACUGUCAUAUAAAGAAUGCAGAUCUCAGUUGGUUAAGGACUAGUUCUCCUGUGGCAAUCAAUGAAAUCCUGAUUCAAGUUUCAGACUAUUGAUUCCUUAUUCAAGCACGGAGCUCAUGUUCUAUUUUAGGGUAAAGAAUGUGUACUUUUGAUGGCUAAGCAAUCAAUCCAUCAAGAAAGGGAUCACUUUUACCCUUAUAACCGUUUUGGCCUAUGGUUUUGGGCCUAGCAUCUCAUCCCUCCCCCAGGUGGGACACUAUAGUUUCAGAGAAAGCUUCUUAUCAUUGAUCAAGACUGUCAUAUAAAGAAACGCAGAUCUCAGUUUUUUAAGACUACUUCUCCUUCAGCAAUCAAUUAAAUCCUGAUUCAAGUUUUAGAUGAUUGAUUUUUUUUCAAGCACACAGAGCUCAUGUUCUAUUGUAGGGUAAAGAACGUGGACUUUUGAUGGCUAAGCAAUCAAUCCAUCAAGAAAGAGAUCACUUUUUACCCUUCCAACCAUUUUGCAUAUGUUUUUGGACCUAGCAUCUUACCCUCGCCCAGGUGAGGUUCAAGCUUGCUGCAAUCUUAGAAUCAAGAAAAGCAGUUUGGCGUCCAUCUAUGUCAUGUUUUAAGGGGCAUUGCAAUCUAACCAGUCAUCAGUGUAUCCCCACCAUAGGUUGUGCAUCUAUUUUUCAUCUUGGAGGUGGUGCAAGCUUUUAUUUACAUCAAAUCCUGCGCCUUGUGGAUCAUUUAUCACAUCCAAUUUAUGCUCUUCAAAUUAGAAUAUAAUCACUUCAUUCAUUAGAGCAUUGUUAUCUUUGCAUGUAGCAAAUCUGUCAGCAAUAGGAGAAGAUGUUGCACUAUUCAUCGUUUGUUUUAUUUAAGGGUCUUUGUUUGGUUCCUAAAAAGUUACAAUUCUGCACCGUAUGGAACAUUUUUGGCAAGCCUAUUUCACCUUUCACUUUUUCAGGUGUUCGGUUUGCACAGAGUUCAGAAUGGUUUAAAAAAUUAAAACUGUCCUUUUUGUUAGUUUAGUAUCAAAUUCAUGGUGUCAACUGUUAGCAGUUAGGUUUGAUUCUGCAUUGGCAUUGAAAUUGAGUUUAUGGUUAUUUUGAGAUUCAAUUUCUUUUCGUCUAGGUUUUGAUGUUUGUUCUUGUAAGUUGAGCAGGCUUAGUGCAAUGGUGUGUGCUUGUUGGAUUAUGAUUGACAGGAUUAAAGUGGACUAGAAUGGAUUUUAAAUUCAGUUAGUUUGUGAAUUAGCUGAGCGCUGCUCAGUUCACCUUUCCUUCUAUUUUUUUUAUCUUUUCUAGUUCUCCUUCGUUUCCUCUUUACUUGUUGGAAGCAUUUAUAAUUUUGCUGCUCGGUUCACCUUUCUUUUUCCUUUCUGUGGUUUAUCUUCCCUUCUCAUUCUCCCGUUUGAUCAACUUUAAUUCUUUCCCUGGUUUAUACCUGCAAACGUCAUUGAGUUCCUCAUUGCUCUCUCUUAUUUGAGGUCAUCUUGGGUUUUUUUUCAGAGUUUUUACUUUUGGUUCACUAAGAUUACCAUAUCUAGAUUUGAUACAGGAGGCAUACAAAUGGGUUAUCGUCCUGUUGAAGUUAUGUUUAACACGGAAAUUAGUUUUGGUUUGUCAUUUGGAAGCUCUGCUUAACUUUAGUCAGUGGUUGUAGAUGAAGAAUGAAAUCUCAGUUGGACAGAAAAGUCAAUCCAUCUUAUGGUGUUGGGAUGUUACUUCUCCCCAAGGAUGCAGCUUUCUGAUGGUGGUGUCACAUUAAGUUUGGAAAUGGACACUUCUUUGAGUUUGAAAACACAAAAUUAUCUUAUUGGUUUUCUGCAUGAUUCCUCACUCAUGUAGCGUCUGCAUAGUGCUGAUAUUUCUUCGGUUGCAAAGGGAAGCUUCCUAGCUUUGAUAAUGACUGGUAAAUGAAAUUGCAAUCUCAGUUAGGCACGAAUGAUUUCCUCUUAGCAGUCUAUGCAGUUUGGUGCCUCUGGGGAAUUUAGUUUUGUAACAACUGUGGGUUGUUGCACCUAAAGUAUUAUGGAGAAGAUGCUAAAAGCUAAUUUAGCUAGGUUUUUUUUUCCUCUUUUACAGUCUUCCUACAAACUCUGCUGUCUGGUAGUUGGUUAAGGUGGCAUUAGAAGUGGGGAAUGCUACUAUUGCAUUAGAUGGUGGCAAAGAGCCAGUUGUUUGAGACGUGCACUUCUUUCUCCUUUACUGUGAAUGUUAAGUUUGAAAAGCUGUUGUCCCUCGUGAAUGGGAAAUUCUUCUUUUGUUGAUUAAUGCUACAAAAUAAAGUUGACAAUC